GACGAACGCUGGCGGCGUGGAUUAGGCAUGCAAGUCGCGCGACGACCUUCGGGUACGGAGCGGCGAACGGGUGAGUAACACGUGAGAAACCUACCGCAUCAUUCCGGAUAAUUGGUCGAAAGGCCUUGUAAUACGGGGGAGGUUCGUUGAUGGGCAUCCAUUAACGAACGAACGAGCAAUCGGUGCUGUGAUGGUCUCGC
rnacentral:rRNA from 1 species